rnacentral:rRNA from 1 species
UACGGAGGAUGCGAGCGUUAUCCGGAUUUAUUGGGUUUAAAGGGUGCGUAGGCGGACGCUUAAGUCAGCGGUAAAAUUGCGGGGCUCAACCUCGUCGAGCCGUUGAAACUGGGUGUCUUGAGUGGGCGAGAAGUACGCGGAAUGCGUGGUGUAGCAGUGAAAUGCAUAGAUAUCACGCAGAACUCCGAUUGCGAAGGCAGCGUACCGGCGCCCAACUGACGCUGAAGCACGAAGGCGUGGGUAUCGAACAGG